AGAGUUUGAUCCUGGCUCAGAGUGAACGCUGGCGGCGUUGAUUAGGCAUGCAAGUCGAGCGAUCCUUGUUUGAACUUUGCGGAAGUGCUUGCACGGAAGCAAAGGGAUAACGCUGGAUAGCGGCAAACGGGUGAGGAACACGUGAACAACUUUCCCUUAAGUCUGGAAUAGCUUCGUGAAAACGGAGGUAAUUCCGGAUAAUAUCUGAAGGACACAUGUCCUUCUUAUUAAAGGUGGGGAUCUUAGGACCUACCGCUUAUGGAUAGGUUCGCGUCCUAUCAGCUUGUUGGUGAGGUAACGGCUCACCAAGGCGUAUGACGGGUAGCUGGUCUGAGAGGAUGGUCAGCCACACUGGGACUGCGACACUGCCCAGACUCCUACGGGAGGCUGCAGUCGAGAAUAUUUAGCAAUGGGCGAAAGCCUGACUAUGCGACGCCGCGUGCAGGAUGAAGGCCUUCGGGUUGUAAACUGCUUUUGUUAGGGAAGAAAAUUCCGACACUAAUACUGUCGGGACUGACGGUACCUGGCGAAUAAGCCACGGCCAACUCCGUGCCAGCAGCCGCGGUAAUACGGAGGUGGCAAGCGUUACUCGGAUUCACUGGGUGUAAAGGGCAAGUAGGCGGUUUGAUAAGUGAGAGGUGAAAUCUUCCGACUUAAUCGGGAAACUGCCUUUCAAACUAUCAAACUUGAGGAAGGAAGAGGGAAAUGGAAUUCUCGGUGUAAGGGUGAAAUCUGUAGAUAUCGAGAAGAACACCAGCGGCGAAGGCGAUUUCCUGGUCCUUUCCUGACGCUGAAUUGCGAAAGCUAGGGGAGCAAACAGAAUUAGAUACUCUGGUAGUCCUAGCUGUAAACGAUGAGCACUAGGUGUUGGUCCGUUCUCGGAUCAGUGCCGCAGCUAACGCAUUAAGUGCUCCACCUGGGGACUACGGUCGCAAGGCUAAAACUCAAAGGAAUUGACGGGGACCCGCACAAGCGGUGGAACAUGUGGUUUAAUUCGAUGAUACGCGAAAAACCUCACCAGGGUUUGACAUGCAGGCAGUAGUGAACUGAAAGGGGAUCGAACCGUCAAGUCCGGUAACCUGCACAGGUGCUGCAUGGCUGUCGUCAGCUCGUGUCGUGAGAUGUUGGGUUAAGUCCCGCAACGAGCGCAACCAUUAUCCCAUGUUGCCACUCCUUUCGAUACUUGUAUCGGGAGGAAGCACUCUUGGGAGACUGCCUGGGAUAACCAGGAGGAAGGUGGAGAUGACGUCAAGUCAGUACGGCCUUUAUGCCCUGGGCGACACACGUGUUACAAUGACCGAUACAAAGGGUUGCCAACCCGCGAGGGGGAGCUAAUCUCUAAAAAUCGGUCUCAGUUCGGAUUGGAGUCUGCAAUUCGACUCCAUGAAGCCGGAAUCGCUAGUAAUGGGAGAUCAGCACGCUCCCGUGAAUACGUUCCCGGGUCUUGUACACACCGCCCGUCAAGCGAUGGGAGCUGGUGGUACCCGAAGUCCUGUGUAGGCAGGCCGAAGGUAAAACUGGUGACUGGCGCUAAGUCGGAACAAGGUA
rnacentral:rRNA from 1 species